rnacentral:rRNA from 1 species
AUGGUGUUCGCGGUCGUCGGUGGUGCUCGCCAGAUGGGAGCGGCUUCGCCGGAGCGCCUGCAAAUUGAAGCAGAAUGGCUCGUGGUGAUCAUAAAAAUGAUGAUGAUGAUUUCAUGGAUCCACCACAGCAGAAUCGGGCAACUGGACGGAGAAAAGAGGGCGAUGAGAGCCUCCCAAGAACGACUGACUACAUUGACUGACAGAUUUACCGACGAUCAGAAGGGAGCUGCUGCUGAGAUGGGUAUGCAGGCUGUGAUCAAUGUCCGGUGCGUGAACCUUGUCGACCCUGUAUGCGACUGGCUUGGUGAGAUUUACGACCCCGCCUCUAGGGAAUUUGUGAUUCCGGGACGUGGAAGACUACCGUUGAACGAGGAAUCCGUGUUCUGCACUUUGGGUGUGCCUCGUGGACAUAUCAAAGUCCCGUACGAGGUCAAUAACGAGAUCGAGGAAGCGUUGUUCCCCCGUUUGUUUCCUGGGUUGGAAUCCAUGCCGAACACGUCUGUACUGGCAGAUUCGCUGCAGGCCAUGACAACCCAUGGAGAUGUUUUUAAGAUGAAGCUACUCAUGUACCUCAUCUCAGCUGUUUUCGCGCCGACCACUUCUCUUCGCCCAAGCAACAAAUGCUUCCCCAUCCUGGCGGAACUGAAAAAUGUGAAGAACAUGAAUUGGUGUAAGUUUAUUGCCGACUUCCUGCACGAUGCAUUCUCAAGCAAGAUGUACCAAAAGGGUUGUCGACUGCAUUUAAUGCUCAUGUACGUCGACUGUCUUGAUCUGUCCAUCGUGGAUUUCACUGGGACAGGAGACCCGCCGCCUACGCACAAGUUUGCUGUUUCUCCGUGGGCUAUCAACGCUGUCAAGGCUGUGCUUGCCACAAACAGGGUAACUAAUACCAAAUAUGGAAAACUGCAGCUGAUGGCCAAGCAUGCUAUAGACUACAACGUGUUUGGGGGGCCUCAAAACUUUGGAAAGUGGAUGGACGUGCACUCAGCUCCGUCUUGCCCUACUGAGGCGAGGGCACCUGUUGAGCAUCUAAUUAGGCAGUUUGCAUCCGGAAUGACCGGCUUGCUUGGGAAGUUGGUUGAGGGGUGGACGUCCCUCAGUGGCUCUGACAACGACGCGGUUGCGAGGCAGUUCACUUCAUUUGUCCUAGAACGUACACAUCGACCAACUGGUUGGCGUGGCCGGUAUGACUACAACAGUUCCCAAGAGCUUGCUGGCACACAAGAUGAACUAGAUGGAGACGCUGGUCUCAGCAAGGAUGACGACGAUGACAUGGAGAACGUGCAACAGGACACUGAUGAUGAUAAACAUGCCGAAGUUCGUGCAGGUGGUAACAAGGGCAAGGAUGCACCAGAUGUCCCCCCACCGGAGAAAGUCAAAGAAUAUAUGACUGCGAGAGGCGAGGGGGUGUUUCCAUCAAAGAGGGGGAGGGCUCUAGAGGAUGUUGGGCAGGGUUCUCCUGGCAAGAGGGUGAAGAAGACUACUACACGUGGGGCCAAGCAUAUCAGUAAGGACCUACUCAAACGCCUUCAUUCAAAGUUGUCAACAGGGGGCAACUCAGAUGUUCAUGAGGCGCUAGGCGACAAAACUGCAACUGCACCGUCAACUGCUCCCACUAACUCUGACGCAAGUGGCCAACCAUCUCCGCCGGUUGCAGAUGUGCAGGCUAGAACAACAGGCAUCCAUACAUCAGGGAGUGACGAGUCGCUAUAUGCCAGGACAGCUGAAAUAUUGCCAACUCUUCUGGCAAUGAAGGAUGCUGCUGUGAGCCAUGCCAUCCCAUCAGCAAGCGUUGAAGUGGACGCUCCCGAGGCCAACCUAAGCAAGGAAAAUUCCCACUCAUCUGACACUGAUUCCAAGCGCGUGCGUGGUGGCACUCCUGUGUCCACGACAGAAGUGGCUGAGGCGGCAGUUCACAAUGAUAUGCCAUCUAUAGGUGAGAGUCUUGGGACAACAGCUCCAGCUCCUCCCCGCAAGCAAUCAAUAGUCAUACCCAAUGCACCAGCUGUAGCUAGGAGCAGCAGAGACGAGUCUGGUUAUGUUCCUGUGUCCACACUAUUCCCGCCACCUGCCAAAAGAAAUGUGAUGGAGAAACCGGAAGACUGGAGCACAACUGAUGCAGGUGUCAAGCCGGGCACGAGUGACGUAGGUGAACGUCCGGAGCAGACUGCGCCUUUACCCGCAGUGGAAAUCCCCAGCUUAAAUCUGCGCACUUCCAGGCUCCCAGUCAAUCUGGGUGUCCCAUACAGCCCAAACAAGAAGAUUAUCAAGAAAGCUGCGGCUGAUACUGCUGACAACACGCCCCGCCCUACAAAUAAGCCCGAUCAUUCUGUAGCGGCCGAUUCAGAUAUGUUUGUUGAUCUUUCACCCUUGGAUUCUGCCCCGCAAGUUGUUCGUGGUCCGGCCAGUAGGCAUGAGAGGCACCCAAUGGCCUUCACCCCACCGAGCUUUAGUCUUGGUAUAAGUCAAGAUCAACCAGUGGUGCCAGAUCCUAUGCCAGUUGUCUUUGCUUUCCCAGGAGGCAUGCCCGCAAUGAUGGCGCAGCCAAUGGUCGAGGGCAGGAAGGCUGUCAAGUUCGCUGAGCCGAUAGUCCAAGCCACCCCUGAGGAGAUUUCACCGUCACUUGAUGAAGCUUACCGCAGGAUCGAGGAGGCAGCAUUGCAGAGGAGGUCCUCACGAUGGCAGGGGCAAUCAAGUUCCAACGUGCCUGCAAAUACGGUAUCUGAGGAUACCAUUAGGAGUGCCACCCCUGGUUCUGUGAGAACCAAGGUCAUUCAAUACGAAGCGACGUACGUCGACCUGGGUGAUCUUGCCGAGUCUAUGAGGCCAAACGGUAAAAUGUCGACGAAUGUAGUUGCAUGCGGGAUUGACUACAUCAACAAUCAUACGGAUGUGUGUGCCGACAAAAUAAUCAUGCAUUACAGUGUGACCUGCAAAAUAUGGGAUGGUGACUUCCACCACAAAAUACCGAGGAAGAAUUUUGCUCAACACGGUGAAUUCAAGCUCACACUGAAGAAAUAUGUCAUGUUCCCUAUGUUCCAGGAGCUUGCACCACACGACCCAAACGACAAGUGUGGUCACCACUAUGCGAUCUGUCUUGACCUGAAGAACCAACGCUUUGAGGUGCUUGAUUCAAUGUGUUCGACACCUGAUGCAGACCUUACUUCGCAUGCUGAAUUCUUCAUCAACAAUGUCAAAGAGACAUGGAACCGUCACUACGAAAACUCAAAGGUCCAGAUCAGACAUUUCCCGGUUGAGUACGUGGCGACUACGAAUCAAGGGAACACGACAGACUGUGGCUUUCACACGUUGAAAUACUUUGCAAAGUGGGAAGGUAGACUUGUCCCCGCUGUCACAGCUGCAACGGUCGUCAAGCUCCGGAAAAUUUACACAUGGAACUGGUUGACGAAUGAAGAUUUCAACAAGCGGUCCGGAUUAUGCGAGUUCGUGGAGGAACCUGUCAAGAAAGUCAUCAAGAAGUACAAGUGA